rnacentral:rRNA from 1 species
AUGGAGGAGGAGGAGGCCCUCGACUCCUUGCCGGGGGAGCACACGCUCGUCGCGGUGCUCCGCCGCCACGCCGAGACCGGCGAGCUCCCGGCGUGGGUCCACGAGGUGAACGUCUACGCUGCCAGCCCGGUCCUUCUCACCGCCGACCGCAAGAAGGUCAUCGCGGAGGACGGAUCCACCGCUUGGUUCUUCCUCUACACCCCCGCGCGCAAGGAGGGCUCAUCCUCCCGCUGCAGCCGCAAAGCGGGCGGCGCGACCUGGAUCGAGGAGCGAACCAGGCCCGUCGAGAAGGCCGGUGCCGACGGCGGCUGGGUCGUGAUCGGACACGCGAGUACCUUCACCUACGGCAAGCGGACAAAAGGCCCCGACAAGAAGAGGAGGACGGAGCGGCUCGGAUGGAUUCUCGUUGAGGUCCGCCUCCCAGGCGAGACGAUGUGCUGCGCCAAGCUCUACCGGUCGCCCAGGAAGACGUCUGCGGCCGCUCCUCCUCCUCCCGCGGCUCCUUCGGCCGCGGUGAACGCUCCUCCUCCUCCCGCGGCUCCAGAGGCCGCGGUGAACGCUCCUCCUCCUCCCGCGGCUCCAGAGGCCGCGGUGAACGCUCCUCCUCCUCCCGCGGCUCCAGAGGCCGCGGUGGUACCUGCUCCUCCUCCCGCGGCUCCUGAGGCCGCGGUGGUGCCCCCUCCCCCUCCCGCGGCUCCAGAGGCCGCGGUGGUACCUGCUCCUCCUCCCGCGGCUCCUGAGGCCGCGGUGGUGCCCCCUCCCCCUCCCGCGGCCCCAGCGGCGGUGGCGGUGCCCCCUGCCCCGGCACCAGCACCAGCUCCAGCCCCAGCGCUGGCCGCGCCCGCACCUCCAGCACCAGCUCCAGUCCCAGCGCUGGCCGCGCCCGCACCUCCAGCACCAGCUCCAGUCCCAGCGCUGGCCGCGCCCGCACCUCCAGCCCCAGCGCUGGCAGUGCCCGUUCCUCCAGCCCCGGCACCAGCCCCGGUGGCUCCUCUGGCUCCAGCAGCACGCUCUCCCCCAGCUCCAGCAGCACACUCUCCGACGCCGGUGGCUCCUCCAGCACCCGCAGAUUCCAGUCCGGACAAGACCUGGGUAAACGUGCUGGUCUCCAAAUUCCCCACGAAGCUUAGUGACAAGGGCAUGUCGAAGCGGGUCCACAAGUUGCUCCUGCCCUCUGAAGGUGGCUUCGACUCUCCCCCCGCCAAGAGAAGGCUGCUCAGCUGCACUGGCUGGCUAAGCAUCAACACUCUCGAGGGAUCAGCUUAG